UACGUAGGGUGCAAGCGUUAAUCGGAAUUACUGGGCGUAAAGCGUGCGCAGGCGGUUAUGUAAGACAGUUGUGAAAUCCCCGGGCUCAACCCGGGAACUGCGUCCGAUACUGGAAGGCUUGAAUCCGGGAGAGGGAUGCGGAAUUCCAGGUGUAGCGGUGAAAUGCGUAGAUAUCUGGAGGAACACCGGUGGCGAAGGCGGCAUCCUGGACCGGCAUUGACGCUGAGGCGCGAAAGCCAGGGGAGCAAACGGG
rnacentral:rRNA from 1 species